rnacentral:precursor_RNA from 10 species
UCGUGCUGUAUUAUGUCGUCAUACACGAGAACAAUUGCACUCGUCUGUACCGCCCCCAUGCGGAUGGCGGACAACGAUGGCAAUGCUCCCGUGGUGGCGCUAUUCAUCGUUUAAUUUU